AUUGAACGCUGGCGGCAGGCCUAACACAUGCAAGUCGAGCGGAUGAAGGGAGCUUGCUCCUGGAUUCAGCGGCGGACGGGUGAGUAAUGCCUAGGAAUCUGCCUGGUAGUGGGGGAUAACGUCCGGAAACGGGCGCUAAUACCGCAUACGUCCUGAGGGAGAAAGUGGGGGAUCUUCGGACCUCACGCUAUCAGAUGAGCCUAGGUCGGAUUAGCUAGUUGGUGGGGUAAAGGCCUACCAAGGCGACGAUCCGUAACUGGUCUGAGAGGAUGAUCAGUCACACUGGAACUGAGACACGGUCCAGACUCCUACGGGAGGCAGCAGUAGGGAAUAUUGGACGAUGGGAGAAAGCCUGAUCCAGCCAUGCCGCGUGUGUGAAGAAGGUCUUCGGAUUGUAAAGCACUUUAAGUUGGGAGGAAGGGCAGUAAGUUAAUACCUUGCUGUUUUGACGUUACCAACAGAAUAAGCACCGGCUAACUUCGUG
rnacentral:rRNA from 1 species